UAGGGGAGCGUUGUAUGCGGGUAGAAGCUGGAUCGUGAGGACUGGUGGACUGCAUACAAGUGAGAAUGCCGGUAUGAGUAACGAAAAGAUCAGUGAGAAUCUGAUCCGCCGUAAGCCUAAGGGUUCCUGAGGAAGGUUCGUCCGCUCAGGGUAAGUCGGGACCUAAGGCGAGGCCGAAAGGCGUAGUCGAAGGACAACAGGUUGAAAUUCCUGUACCACCGUGAACCGUUAUGAGCGAUGGGGUGACGCAGAAGGAUAGUGACGCGAGCUGAUGGAUGCUCGUCCAAGCAGUGAGGCUGGUGUGCAGGCAAAUCCGCACACCGUAAGGCUGGGCUGUGAUGGGGAGGGAAAUUUAAGUACCGAAGGUCAUGAGUUCAGGCUGCCAAGAAAAGCCUCUAGCCAGGGAGAAGGUGCCCGUACCGCAAACCGACACAGGUAGGCGAGCAGAGCAUGCUAAGGCGCUCGGAAGAACUCUCGUUAAGGAACUCGGCAAAAUGACCCCGUAACUUCGGGAGAAGGGGUGCCUCGGUAGGGUGAAUAGCCCGAGGGGGCCGCAGUGAAAAGGCCCAAGCGACUGUUUAGCAAAAACACAGGUCUGUGCGAAGCCGCAAGGCGAAGUAUACGGGCUGACGCCUGCCCGGUGCUGGAAGGUUAAGGGGAGCGGUUAGGGGCAACCCGAAGCUGUGAACCGAAGCCCCAGUAAACGGCGGCCGUAACUAUAACGGUCCUAAGGUAGCGAAAUUCCUUGUCAGGUAAAUUCUGACCCGCACGAAUGGCGUAACGACUUGGGCGCUGUCUCGACGAGAGAUCCGGUGAAAUUUUAAUACCUGUGAAGAUGCAGGUUACCCGCGACAAGACGGAAAGACCCCAUGGAGCUUUACUGCAGCUUGAUAUUGGACUUUGGUACGAUCUGUACAGGAUAGGUGGGAGCCUGGGAAGCCUGCGCGCCAGCGUGGGUGGAGGCGCCGUUGGGAUACCACCCUGAUCGUAUCGGAGUUCUAACCUGGUACCGUGAACCGGUACGGGGACAGUGUCAGGUGGGCAGUUUGACUGGGGCGGUCGCCUCCUAAAGAGUAACGGAGGCGCCCCAAGGUUCCCUCAGAAUGGUUGGAAAUCAUUCGAAGAGUGCAAAGGCAUAAGGGAGCUUGACUGCGAGACAAACAGGUCGAGCAGGGACGAAAGUCGGGCUUAGUGAUCCGGUGGUACCGCAUGGAAGGGCCAUCGCUCAACGGAUAAAAGCUACCCUGGGGAUAACAGGCUUAUCUCCCCCAAGAGUCCACAUCGACGGGGAGGUUUGGCACCUCGAUGUCGGCUCAUCGCAUCCUGGGGCUGAAGUAGGUCCCAAGGGUUGGGCUGUUCGCCCAUUAAAGCGGUACGCGAGCUGGGUUCAGAACGUCGUGAGACAGUUCGGUCCCUAUCUGUCGUGGGCGCAGGAAAUUUGAGAGGAGCUGUCCUUAGUACGAGAGGACCGGGAUGGACGUACGCUGGUGUACCAGUUGUUCCGCCAGGAGCACGGCUGGAUAGCCAAGUACGGACGGGAUAAGCGCUGAAAGCAUCUAAGCGUGAAGCCCCCCUCAAGAUGAGAUUUCCCAAUUAGUAAGACCCCUUGU
rnacentral:rRNA from 1 species